GGGGAAUAUUGGGCAAUGGGCGCAAGCCUGACCCAGCAACGCCGCGUGAAGGAAGAAGGCCCUCGGGUUGUAAACUUCUUUUCUUAGGGACGAAGCAAGUGACGGUACCUAAGGAAUAAGCCACGGCUAACUACGUGCCAGCAGCCGCGGUAAUACGUAGGUGGCAAGCGUUAUCCGGAUUUACUGGGUGUAAAGGGCGUGUAGGCGGGAGUGUAAGUCAGAUGUGAAAACUAUGGGCUCAACCCAUAGCCUGCAUUUGAAACUGCAUUUCUUGAGUACUGGAGAGGCAGACGGAAUUCCUAGUGUAGCGGUGAAAUGCGUAGAUAUUAGGAGGAACACCAGUGGCGAAGGCGGUCUGCUGGACAGCAACUGACGCUGAGGCGCGAAAGCGUGGGGAGCAAACAGGAUUAGAUACCCUGGUAGUCCACGCUGUAAACGAUGGAUACUAGGUGUGGGGGGUCUGACCCCCUCCGUGCCGCAGUUAACACAAUAAGUAUCCCACCUGGGGAGUACGAUCGCAAGGUUGAAACUCAAAGGAAUUGACGGGGGCCCGCACAAGCGGUGGAGUAUGUGGUUUAAUUCGAAGCAACGCGAAGAACCUUACCAGGGCUUGACAUCCUACUAACGAGGUAGAGAUACGUUAGGUGCCCUUCGGGGAAGGUAGAGACAGGUGGUGCAUGGUUGUCGUCAGCUCGUGUCGUGAGAUGUUGGGUUAAGUCCCGCAACGAGCGCAACCCUUAUUGUUAGUUGCUACGCAAGAGCACUCUAGCGAGACUGCCGUUGACAAAACGGAGGAAGGUGGGGACGACGUCAAAUCAUCAUGCCCCUUAUGUCCUGGGCCACACACGUACUACAAUGGUGGUCAACAGAGGGAAGCAAUCCCGCGAGGAGGAGCAAAUCCCUAAAAGCCAUCCCAGUUCGGAUCGCAGGCUGCAACCCGCCUGCGUGAAGUUGGAAUCGCUAGUAAUCGCGGAUCAGCAUGCCGCGGUGAAUACGUUCCCG
rnacentral:rRNA from 1 species